rnacentral:rRNA from 1 species
GAGUGGCGAACGGGUGAGUAACACGUGGGUAACCUGCCCAUCAGAAGGGGAUAACACUUGGAAACAGGUGCUAAUACCGUAUAACACUAUUUUCCGCAUGGAAGAAAGUUGAAAGGCGCUUUUGCGUCACUGAUGGAUGGGCCCGCGGUGCAUUAGCUAGUUGGUGAGGUAACGGCUCACCAAGGCCACGAUGCAUAGCCGACCUGAGAGGGUGAUCGGCCACACUGGGACUGAGACACGGCCCAGACUCCUACGGGAGGCAGCAGUAGGGAAUCUUCGGCAAUGGACGAAAGUCUGACCGAGCAACGCCGCGUGAGUGAAGAAGGUUUUCGGAUCGUAAAACUCUGUUGUUAGAGAAGAACAAGGAUGAGAGUAAAAUGUUCAUCCCUUGACGGUAUCUAACCAGAAAGCCACGGCUAACUACGUGCCAGCAGCCGCGGUAAUACGUAGGUGGCAAGCGUUGUCCGGAUUUAUUGGGCGUAAAGCGAGCGCAGGCGGUUUCUUAAGUCUGAUGUGAAAGCCCCCGGCUCAACCGGGGAGGGUCAUUGGAAACUGGGAGACUUGAGUGCAGAAGAGGAGAGUGGAAUUCCAUGUGUAGCGGUGAAAUGCGUAGAUAUAUGGAGGAACACCAGUGGCGAAGGCGGCUCUCUGGUCUGUAACUGACGCUGAGGCUCGAAAGCGUGGGGAGCGAACAGGAUUAGAUACCCUGGUAGUCCACGCCGUAAACGAUGAGUGCUAAGUGUUGGAGGAUUUCCGCCCUUCAGU